rnacentral:pre_miRNA from 1 species
UGGCGCCUCCCGCUCCGCCUACUCACCCCGCCAUGUGGCGGCCGGGUGAGGGCCUCGGGACGGCAC